ACCAGCCCUCCCCGCGCCCUCGGGCCAGGCGCCGCCAACUGACGGCCAGUCGUUUUCCAGCCUCGUCCCGCGUCCCGCCCACGGCUCCUUCGCCCAAGCCUCCGCGGAGCGCCUCUGCGCAGCCGGUCUCAAAAUGAUGGCACAACUCCAUUGGCAUCGUGACGCUACCACAGAAUGUUCUGUCACCCAAGACACCAUCAGAUCCAGCUCUCUGCUAUGGCCUGGGCUAGCAGUAGAAGAUGGCCCAAGUCCUUGGACCCCUGCACCCACGUGGGAGACCCAGAAGAAGCUCCUGGCUCCUGGCUUCAGAUCAGCACAACUCUGGCUGUUGCGGCCAGCUGGGGAGUGAACCACCAAAUGGAGGACCUUUCUUUCUCUCUGCCUCUCCUCUCUGUAACUCUAACUUUCAAAUAAAUAAAUAAAUCUUUAGGAAAAAAAUGUACAACUAGGGGCCAGCACUGUGGCGUACCAGGUAAAGCUGCUGCCUGCAGUGCCGACAUCCCAUUUGGACACCAGUUCAAGUCCCAGCUGCUCCACUUCUGAUGCAGCUCUCUGCUACAGCCUGGGAAAGCAGUAGAAGAUGGCCCAAGUGCUUGGGCUUCUGUACCCAUGUGGGAGACCUGGAGGAAGCUCCUGGCUUUGGAUCAGCCCAGCUCUGGCCAUUGCAGCCAUUUGAGGAGUGAACCAAUGGAUGAAAGACCUCUCUCCGCCUCUGCCUCUCUGUAAU